rnacentral:rRNA from 1 species
CCUACGGGUGGCAGCAGUAGGGAAUAUUGCUCAAUGGGGGAAACCCUGAAGCAGCAACGCCGCGUGGAGGAUGAAGGUUUUCGGAUUGUAAACUCCUUUUGUUAGAGAAGAUAAUGACGGUAUCUAACGAAUAAGCACCGGCUAAAUCCGUGCCAGCAGCCGCGGUAAUACGGAGGGUGCAAGCGUUACUCGGAAUCACUGGGCGUAAAGAGCGCGUAGGCGGGAUAGCAAGUCAGGUGUGAAAUUCUAGGGCUUAACCAUAGAACUGCAUUUGAAACUGUUAUUCUAGAGUAUGGGAGAGGUAGGUGGAAUUCUUGGUGUAGGGGUAAAAUCCGUAGAGAUCAAGAGGAAUACUCAUUGCGAAGGCGACCUGCUAGAACAUAACUGACGCUGAUGCGCGAAAGCGUGGGGAGCAAACAGGAUUAGAUACCCGGGUAGUC